rnacentral:rRNA from 1 species
UGAGCAACCUGCCCCUGGCUCUGGGAUAACUCCGGGAAACCGGAGCUAAUACCGGAUACGAGACCGAUUGGCAUCUUUACGGUCUGGAAAGUUUUUCGGCCAGGGAUGGGCUCGCGGCCUAUCAGCUUGUUGGUUGGGUAACGGCCCACCAAGGCGACGACGGGUAGCCGGCCUGAGAGGGCGACCGGCCACACUGGGACUGAGACACGGCCCAGACUCCUACGGGAGGCA